UACAGAGGGUGCAAGCGUUGCUCGGAUUUACUGGGCGUAAAGCGUACGCAGACGGCAUGAAGGGUCGGACGUGAAAGCCCCGGGCUCAACCCGGGAAAUGCGUCCGAAACCGCCUUGCUUGAGUAUGGGAGAGGGAAGCGGAAUUCCUGGUGUAGAGGUGAAAUUCGUAGAUAUCAGGAGGAACACCGGCGGCGAAGGCGGCUUCCUGGCCCAUUACUGACGUUCAGGUACGAAAGCGUGGGUAGCAAACAGG
rnacentral:rRNA from 1 species